GUGUCAGCAGCCGCGGUAAUACGUAGGGGGCAAGCGUUAUCCGGAAUCACUGGGUGUAAAGGGUGCGUAGGCGGUUAUGUAAGUCAGAUGUGAAAUACCGAAGCUCAACUUCGGGGCUGCAUUUGAAACUGUGUGACUAGAGUACAGGAGAGGUAAGUGGAAUUCCUAGUGUAGCGGUGAAAUGCGUAGAUAUUAGGAAGAACACCAGUGGCGAAGGCGACUUACUGGACUGAAACUGACGCUGAGGCACGAAAGCGUGGGGAGCAAACAGGAUUAGAUACCCUGGUAGUCCACGCUGUAAACGAUGAAUGCUAGGUGUUGGCGCGAGAGCGUCGGUGCCGCAGUUAACACAAUAAGCAUUCCACCUGGGGAGUACGAUCGCAAGAUUGAA
rnacentral:rRNA from 1 species